rfam:Stegodyphus mimosarum contig91328, whole genome shotgun sequence.
GCCUUCGUGGUCAGCACGCUCGACUCGUAACCGAGAGGUCCGUGGUUCGAUUCCCGGCAAGGGCA